CAGAAUUCGCUAUGUUUACGUGACUGCAUUGUUUCAAGUUCUUGAAGGACUAAAUUCUGAAAAUACUAAAUAAAAAGGACUAGUUCUGUGAACAUAAUUUGUAUUUCGUACUGGGCAAAUAUCAGAAUAUUCACGUAGUCAACAAAAAAUUUUUAAAAAAUAUCAAUAAUCUUGUUGUUUUGUAAAUUAAAAAUAAAACUCAACUAUAUGUUUUCCAUAUCUGCAUACUAAAUUAAUUUCAGUCAAUUUGUAAAGUGUGAUCAAUUAAUUAACCAGUCUGUAAUAUAAGUAAGUUGCUGUACUAAAAUAUUGCAUCAUAUUCUGAUUUACUUUAAAGCUGUCAAUUUCUGAACUGGUUUUAACCAGACUUGGGAGUUAUACUUUUUUAUUUAUUUUUUAUUUAUUAAAAUAACUAUGCACAUUUUUCAAUUCAAUCGAUGAACAACAAUUUAACUAUAAUUGUUGAAUCCAAGGCAGUUGAAUUCAAUUGAGAUGGUCUCUGAUCAUCAUACCCUACAAAUCACUCGAAGAGGCCUCAAAGUUUGUCACCGACAUCCAGUUAUCAUCCUUGUUAGAAAUAAGUCAGCACAAAGUCAUAAUGAAAAUCAAGACUUCCUGUAGUAACAUGUCGGAGAAACAACUGGCUAAAUUAUGUGUUAAUCUUCUAAAUUGUCAAUCCACGAACAAAGGAAGAAUAACAAUCAAAGAAUGUAAUUCUAAUAUGAAAGCUGCUACAUGGAAUGCCUAUCAUUUAAUGAGUAACAGAGCAAAAACAAUACGUUACUCAUCAAGAAGUAACCAGUUUUGAGCACUAUCAGAAAUAACAGUUAAUAGAUAAUUUUUAGGAAAGUCAAGAUCAUCUUGAAGAACAGACAACUAAUGAAGACAAAAUCAUAGAGACUAACAUUGAAGACUUAACUAAGGAUAAAGUCUUGAUACGAAUUGGUCAUGUUCAACUAGCUGUCAUGACUGAAGACAUUUAGAAUAGAUUGGGAAAUGCAAAAUAAUUACUGUUCUCUACUGUUACUGGUUGGCACACUCCUGUAAUGGCC
rnacentral:misc_RNA from 1 species